rnacentral:rRNA from 1 species
GACGAACGCUGGCGGCGUGCUUAACACAUGCAAGUCGAACGGAAAGGCCCUGCUUUUGCGGGGUGCUCGAGUGUCGAAAGCGUGAGUAACACGCGAGUAACCUGUCCUUGACUUUGGGAUAACAUCUGGAAACUGGGGCUAAUACCGGACAGGAGCUCCCGCUGCGUGGUGGUGGUUGGAAAGUAUCGGCGGUUGGGGAUGGAGUCGCAGCUUAUCAGCUUGUUGGUGGGGUAUUGGCUGACCACGGCUUAGCCAGGUAGCCGGCCUGAGCAGGUGACCGGCGACAUUGGGCCUGAGAGAGGGCGCAGACUCCUACGGGAGGCAGCAGUGGCGAAUAUUGCACAACGGGCGGGAGCCAGAUGCAGCAGCUCCGGGUGCGGGAUGCCGGCCUUCUAGUUGUAAACCGCUUUCGCCUGUACCGAAGCGUGAGUGACGGUAAUUAGUAAAGAAGCACCGGCUAACUACGUG